rnacentral:rRNA from 1 species
CGGAGUGCCCAUGACAGAGGAUUCGUCCAAUGGAUUGGGUUACUUAGUGGCGGACGGGUGAGUAACGCGUGAGGAACCUGCCUCGGAGUGGGGAAUAACACAACGAAAGCUGUGCUAAUACCGCAUGAUACAGUUGGGUCGCAUGACUCUGACUGUCAAAGAUUUAUCGCUCUGAGAUGGCCUCGCGUCUGAUUAGCUAGUUGGUGGGGUAACGGCCCGCCAAGGCGACGAUCAGUAGCCGGACUGAGAGGUUGACCGGCCACAUUGGGACUGAGACACGGCCCAGACUCCUACGGGAGGCAGCAGUGGGGAAUAUUGGGCAAUGGGCGCAAGCCUGACCCAGCAACGCCGCGUGAAGGAAGAAGGCUUUCGGGUUGUAAACUUCUUUUCUCAGGGACGAAGCAAGUGACGGUACCUGAGGAAUAAGCCACGGCUAACUACGUGCCAGCAGCCGCGGUAAUACGUAGGUGGCAAGCGUUAUCCGGAUUUACUGGGUGUAAAGGGCGUGUAGGCGGGAUCGCAAGUCAGAUGUGAAAACUGGAGGCUCAACCUCCAGCCUGCAUUUGAAACUGUGGUUCUUGAGUACUGGAGAGGCAGACGGAAUUCCUAGUGUAGCGGUGAAAUGCGUAGAUAUUAGGAGGA